AAAAAAAAAAAAAAAAGCACAGCAAAACACUGGAAAGAGUAGAAAGCAUUUUAAACAGCAAAUUUGUCAAUGUUUUUCCUCGCUGCCGAGUCGGACGGUGGGUCGGCGCUGGUUUAGAUUAGCUCUGUCCCGUGCAGUCGGACGGUAGCAACGUGAACCUGCAGCGCACGGAUCCGUGGAUAGCAUGGAGAGGAGGAGGAAUGCGGGGAAUGUUUUCCCUCGCAGCGCUGCGGCGGUGCGGCGGUGACAGCGCUAACACUUCCCAGAGCCGAGGACCCCGAAGCCGAAAUGGCAUUGCCCACCCUGAAAGCGAGAAGGAAACGGGUCUCAGAUGUUUAUAUGUUAAAAAGUAAGGCUGCUAAUCUGCUUGCCCCUUUGCCCGGCAUCGACAACUGUUACAUCUUUUCUCCUGGCUUUGGGGCCAAGUUAUGUGUUCGCUUAAUUUCUUUUAAAUCGGCGGAAUAACCACUGUCCUGCAAUCACUGGAUUUGCUUGCCAACACCGAGCAAAGUCACCUCGGCAAUGUAAGCCAAAGUUUACCAGAGAAUUGUGAGAUUUUAUACUUAUGGAGAUGGACUCCAGCAGUGAAGCUGGGAGAAAAGGGCUUAAGGGGCUGCAGCUCAGCGCUUGGUGUUUGUGUCCAUCAAACACAAAGAAUGCUGAACUGGGAACCUUUCAAGCACUGAUGUUUGUGAUCUCGGAGCAAAAAAGAGGAGAUUAAUCUGCACUGGUAGAUUUCCACGCUGUUGCCCAACGCAUGAUUUCAGCACACAUAAGGCAGAGAUUCGUUCCCUUCCAUUAAUCAAUAUUUUUGAUGAUCCUUGUGGUCCCUUCUAACUCAAGCCAUUCUAUGAUUCUGUGAUUUUUAUUUCCUCCUUUUCAGCUUCCUGCAGCAUAGAGGCUGAUAAUACACCAUUAAAAUGGGAUAAAGCUGGAGGUCUUUGGACAGCAGCUGAGCUGCGGGGUGACACGCACUCUGCACUGCCCACCACUUCUUGCCUCGUUUUUCCCAACAGCUUCUCCACAUGGUUGACAUUUCUGACCCGGUGUGAAGCACAGCCCCCAGCCCACACCUGGUUAGUGGUGUGAUGAGAAUCAGAUUAAAUCAGCAAAGAGCUUCAGUAACAAAAGCAGUGGGAGCAGCAGGAAGUCUAAAGAGAAUGUGAGAAUGGGCUCAUAUUGGAGAAAACCCUCCUUGGCUGCAUAGCUGCCCACAGAAUGCAAACUGAGGCCAGGAGGAAUUCCUUGGUGUUGACCAUCUGAGGCUGGAAAUGAACUGUCGACAUGUAAGUAUGCACUAAUACAGCCCGCAGAGAAAGCUCCGUCGUGCUGAGAAACUGAGGAGAGCAGGAAAACAUCUCGGAGGGCACUUCUUGGUGUGCCAACACAAGCUGUCACGUCUGCAAAGCAUCUCCCUUGGAUAUGGAGAAAACAAAAUAACCCUUCCUGAGGUUUCUUCUCCAUCAGCCUCAUACUAAACUGUGGGUGGGAUCAGUGGGUGCCUGCAUCCAGGUGCCUCGUUCCUUUCUGCAAGACAUGCCAGUGUGAUGCUGAUGGGGAAUGGGAAACUGGGGAGAAGGAGUGGCUGCCCUCUGAAAUCUCCCCCAAAAUGCCACCCUGGGGCUGGCUGCCUCUCAAGUGAUUUCUUUCAACUUUCUGUGCUUCCAAAGAAGAGUUUCUCCAUGACUAAUGUUUAUCAGUGCUUUCCUGGUGCUGCAGUGAAGGAGCUGGCAUUAGGAGGAGAAAAGCAACUUGCUUUCCUCUGCAAGGGGCCAUUGAGCAGUGAGAUAAUGCUCUUCCCAAAAGUGCGUGCUCACUGCUGCUGGGUCGCAGCCAGGAGCAGCCUUCCCCAUUCCCUCUGGAGGUGGCAACAAUGCACAUGUGUGUCAUUUCCUGACCUCUGUGGAAAUCUCAGGGCUGAUAUUCAAGAAAAGAAAAAAAGAAAGAUGGAAAAUCAAGGGCCUCCCCUAGGAAGACUCCACCUUCCAGACUGCUCCAUUUCCACGUCAAGUGUCUUUUCGUGUCUUGUGUUCCAUGGCCAAGGCUGGGUCUUGCUCUGAGGUGAGUCAGCCCCAACUGUCCCCAGGGGAGGGGACAGCAGACCACCCCCAGGCAGUGGGCUCACAUCCUGCCCAUGGAUUUCCAGGAACUUUUCCUAAUGCUUUAAGCUAUAAAAAAUCACUAAAAGAUCAAAAUACAUCCAGGCAGGGCUGUCUAUCCUGGAGACACCACGUAGACAAGCCCACUGUUUGAAGCCAUCCUGUAUCCAUUGUCACACUGGGGCUUUUUGCUCCCGGACCUUCUUCAGUUGGAAGCAAAUCUGCUUCACCAUCAGGCUGCAUCUCUUUGUACCUAUCACUAUUAUAGCUCUCUACAGUUCCCUGAAAGGAUGUUGUAGAGAGGUGGGUGUUGACCUCUUCUCCCAGGUAACAGCAACAAGAUGAGAGGUAACAGCCUUAAAUUGCACCAGUGAAGGCUCAGGUUGGAUAUUAAGAAAAAUGUCUUCUCAGAAAGAGUGCUGAUGCACUGGCACAGGCUGCCCAGGAGAUGGGAGAGUCACCAUCCCCGGAGGUGUUCCAGAACUGUAAAGAUGUGGCACUGAGAGACAUGGUUAGUGGGCAUGGUGGGAUGAGCUAGGGCUGGAUUUGGGGAUCAUAGACCUUUUCCAACCAUCAUAAGUCUAUGCUAUGACUCUAUUGUAAGGGUCCAGAGGAAAGGCCAAGAUAUGUGGUUGUUUUGGGGCACUGUGCUUUUGGAAGCUUUCCAUUCUUUAGGACCCUGAAGGCUUGAAUCUAUUCCACUCACUCUAUCUUGUAUUGCUGUAUUUUGGGAAAGCAUAGAACGAAUGAGUGGCAGGAUCGGAUAAACAAGCUUAAGGUAAACAUUAUCUGCAUGUAUAUCCUGAUUUAUAAUGUACGUGCAUCAGUUAAAAAUUUACUUGAAUUUACCACAGUGUUUUAAGUAAUGUUAUUAAGAAUGUAAGUUCUUAGGAAAACUCAGUCUGUUUUUAGCCCAGACAUGCAAUUAGGGGAAUUAGUAACACGAUACGUCAUCUUCAAGAACACACAGAUACAGUGGUCAGAAACCUCAUGCAACCCUCUGGAAGGAAAUUUUGCUCGCAGCGUAUGUGAGCGCUCUCUUGCAAACCUCCUGAUUCUCACCAGGAAAUAACAUGACCUCCCCAAGGCAGCACAUGGCCUGUUUGAAGGGCACUGAGGAUGAAAGAGGGGAGAUUUAGGUUAGAUGCUACCCAGAGAAGAUGUGGAUGCCCCAUCCCAAGGCAAUAUUGGAUGGGGCCAUUGGCAGCCUGAUCUGGUGGGUGGCAACCUGGUCCAUGGCAGGGGUUUGGAACUGAAUGAUCUUUAAAAGUCCUUCCAAUCUAAGCCGUCCUACGAUUCUAUGACUCUGUGAGUAUGAAAUCCAAUAUUUGGAUGGGAUUGGAUGAACAUGAGUAUGCCACCUCUGGAGAGGAUCACCACAAUGACUUCACAUCCUGCACAGGCUUCCUGCACCAGAGGCAUAAAUGAAACAGCACAAAGCCCCCAAACUCUACCAAAAACCUUUGCAUUUACUCCUCUGUUCAGAGCCAAAUGGUGAGGGCAAAGAGAACUGCCAUCACCAUACAUGGGCUCGCACCACAUCCCAAAGCUGCGGCUGUGCAGCCCCUCCGCUUAUUCCCACGGCACCAUGACCGGAGCCCUUUCUGCUGCUGGGACAGUGGAAAAUUCCAAAGAAAAAAAAAAAAAAAGCAAAAUCUCUCCCUCCCUGCUUCUUUCUGAGGGUUCCAGAAACUCCAGCUGAAUUUCACAAAUUCAGGUGGCUUUUGGCCAGUUUGCGUAAGCCAGAGUCCAAAUUUUUGGUUGCUGAACGAAGCUUUGACACAAGUCAUUGAGGUUUCUUUAUCGCUAGCAACAAUCUUUGCUUUUGUUUUUGUUUUGCUUUCAGCCUCUAGCACUGCUGCAAAACAACCUGAUCCUGCUACAGGGACGCGUGUGAGGAAAGCAAAAAUAUUGCUCAGUAAAUAGCUGCAAAUGAUAGAGGAUCCUGAAAAAACACUGGAAAAUAUGAAAAAGCCAAUGAAGCAAGGGGGAAAAAAAUGGGGUUUUCUUUCCUCCUCUAAGAAAGAAUGCAUUAUCUGGAAAUCCCACUUUGUAGUUUGGCAUUUGUUUUGGUGUUGGUUUAUUUCAGCAACCAACUCUGAAUAAAGAACAACCGCAGAAACUGUACUCCAAAGCUACAGCGGUGGGUGGCAAAUUUCUCCCUUACCACAAAUAUCCUUCCAUACUUGUCAGUCCAGAUUGAAAACAUUUUUUGAUGUUGUUUGUGUAUCUCAUCUUCCAUCACUCUCAACAAGGGUCAGGAACAAUGGGUUUGAUGGGUUGUGGACCUAAAAAGGAAAUUUUUUCUUCUUCUCCCUUCAAUUCCAUAGCAGCUCAUUGCAUAGCUCAAAUGUUAGGGCUUGUCCUGUCUAUGGGAGCUGUUAUGGUCCCUCUCUUUAAGCCAAGGGAUGGAUGUGUGAGCACUGAUGGUCACUUUCUGAGGGAUUCUUGCAAGAUUUCAUUAUCUGAAGCAAACUUCUCACCUGCUGGGCUUGCCUAGCUAAGUAAAGUGCAAAAUCAUCACAUUCUUUCAACUUCAAGUUCUUGCCUGGAGAGAUCUCUGCCUUGGGUAGGGCAGAGGCACCUCCCUAUCAGAAGGAGGAUCCCAAUCCCCAAAAAAUCUGUGUUUGUGUUUCCAGACACGCACAGCCCCAUUGAUUUAGAGCACGCGUACGUUUGUGCAGCUGCGAUCUUGCACUGUAAGCUUCUGCCAGAUAACUGUACAGUGAGGAGCCCUGAUUUGCUCUGGGCUCUUUGCAGUGCAUAAAAACACCAUCUCCAAGAAGCACAGUCCUGUUGGGUCUGAUGUCAGCAUGCAGGAGUGUUCACUCAUAAUGAAAUGUCCUGCAGAUGGUGGGGUUUUGGAGAGCGCAGCACCCAGCUUUACAGCAGCACCGUGCACCCAUUUACCCAAAUAUCUUCAAAACGUGCUGGUUUAACUUCACAGCUGUUGUAUUUCCACAUCCUCAGCAAAACCCUGAACCUACCCAGCCCUCAGGUGGUCCCACUGCAUUUGAAAUCCUAGAAUCAUUAAGGCUGUAAAAGAUCUCUAGGAUCACCAAUUCCGACUCAACCCAUCCCAGCAUUCUCACUGACCACGUUCCUCAGUGCCAUAUCCCCAUGGCUCUGAAACACCUCCAGGGACAGUGACUCCACCACCUCCCUGUCCCAACGUGUCACCACUCUUCCAGCGAAUAUAUUUUUCCUAACAUCUAGCCUAGUUCUUGGGACACACCCAAUAAGCAAGGAGUCAUCCAGCGGAUAAAGUCCUCUUCCUUAUUUCUCCUGAUUUGGGAUCAGCAAGACCUGCAGUGCUCAGAACACAAUGAUUUGUCCCCAAAGCGGUGAUAAGGAAUUCAGCAGCUGCUAUGUGCCAGCAGGCUCUAUCCUGGGCUCUUCUGCUCCACUUCAAUAUUAAUGCUGGAUUUUGGGGGCUGGAAACAACAGACACCCACUCAGACAGCCCCAGGCAUCCCCUACAGGCACAAUCCAUGCUCUGCUCUGAUGGAGGUGUGGAAGAGCCCCGUUAAGUCUCCUGCCAGUGCAGCCUUUCUGUUGUUGUUUUCCAUGAGAACACGAUAUGUUUAUCUAGCUUUGAUUUUUUUUGUUUUUGUUUUGUUUUGUUUUGCUUUGUAGCUGAAUGAACUGAUUAUUACUUUCAUCUGGUUCCCUCUGAAGGGUCAAAUGAAGCCCAAAUAAUAAAAUUGAACGCGAGUGUGCACGUAUAUAUUUAUAAUUAAUAGGUUACAUACUGAAAGAUGUGGGUCCUAAAAGAACGUGUAAAGAGAAAAUGCUCUAAAACUUGAUCUUUAUUUUGGUUCAACCUCAACAAUUUCCUGCAAAGCACAAGUGGUGAUAUAAUACGGGGCAGAUCAAACCAAACUUUAAAACCAAACCUCUACUCUGCUUCUCAUGCCAAAUAUCAUUCCUUAAGAUGUUCUUUUCUCCAUCUGGCGAUUUUGGCUUCCCUGUGUUCCCUGCAAGACUUUGGACCUUUUGCUAAAAUGUUUGUGAUAUGACUCAGAAUAACAAACAAGACACGCAGAACCUUCAUUCAGUCGAGCACAAUACUGGCAAUAAAUGGAGCUGGCUCAACAGGAGGGUUCUGUAGACACCCCAUGAAACUCGAAGGAGAGAAAUAAAUCAGCAACUGAUGCAUUUUUCUUCCCCAAACCCCCCCCCCUUUUUUUUAAGAGAAAUCAGAACUGUUUUUCAGUAAAGUUAAAACUUUUCCAGCUUUUCACCAAAGCAAACAGAAAGCAGGUGCGUGCUGAAAGGAUUUUGGCCAGGGACGUGCGGAGAAGUGCACGUGGGUUUUCCUGUGAGCACUCACAGCUAAUGGGCUUGAUUUUGCUCUCAGUAAUGUUGAUGGAAGCUUUGCCAUUUCCCUUCAAAGAAAGCGGGCGAGACACCUACAGAGCCACCGUGUAUAGAAGAACAAGAAGCGCAAGGCAAGUUUUUCUGGUAGUCUGUGUAUUUUAAAGGUUGUCACAAUCCCAUCCAAACCCUUUGCUCUGCAAAACAGCACUCUGCUCACUGAAGCUUCAUUCAAAAAUAAAGCCUUUCUUUGCAUUAAAAUACAUAAGUCCAGAGAGUAGGAAGCAAACGUGGUCUUACUUCCCAGUAGUUCUCAGCCACUUGCUUGCAUUCUGCUUUUUGAUGCAGUACAUUGCGUUGGCAUCUUGGUGAAAGGUGUUCACACCCACCACCCUGAAAGAUCUGCCAUUGAUUUGCAGAUUCCAAUCUGGACUUUCUUCUGUUUCUCUCUAAAAGCCCAUUUCCCACUGUUUUUUAUUUAAGAGCAGAGUGGCACUGACAUUGUCACCACUAAGGAUGCAGUCUGGAAAGCAGAGAGAACAAGGCAGCUCCCGAUGAUGGAUGGCAUGGCCAAGGGCAGAGCCACUGUUCCGUGCCAGCCUUCUGCAGAGCACCUACGAUCUCAGGGCUAUCUGAGCCAACACGUCCUAAUGCACAGAAAUCCCGAGUGCUUAAAGCCUCCCCUAUCCAUGACCAUAAAAGUCCAGCAACUCUGUGCGCACGGAUGCCUCACGCAUGUGCCUCGAGGAGCAGAUUGCCAGUUUGGCACUUGGCAGCCUAUGCCUGCCACAGGCAGCAAAGCCCAUUUGUCACCCAGGAGCGUGUUGAAACCAUGUUUACAUAAAUCCUAAUGCCUCCGCCUUCUCAGCAAAUGAGUCUUUGUACCAUGGAUCUGGGACAGCAGGACUGCUGCCAUUGGGUGGGUGAUACUGGGGGAGGCAUGAAGAUGCAGAAAUCCCUCUCCCCAAACUGAUGACUCUCUGCCCUUUCCUGUCCCAGCAAAGAAUACUGAUUGAAAUGAGCUGAAAAGCUCAGAAAGCAGAAAAACAGCCCUGCUUUCCACCCUACCGGUAUGGGAUUUAUUAAAGAAAGCCCUGGGAUGUGAAGAAGGAAGAGCGGCUGCUUCACGGUGCUUUUGAAGACUUUAUUAACCUGAAGGCUUGGAAAAUAGCACUGCUCUAUACACGAGCUCAGCUGUGUAAUGUGUUGCAGAAAAGCUGCCCUGCCCAGGUGGAUGGGGGCUGCAUUCUGCAGUGCUGAGUUACCCCUAUUUCACUUCUCAUGGGUUGCUCAGCAGCAGGGCUGACACCUUCAACCUUCAGGCAAGGAACUAAUAAAUUGAGCAAUAAGUUGAGCCAGUUUUGUCACCACUGACAUCCAGACUGGGUUGGGAGCAUCCCUGCAUAACCCAAUCCCCUCCAUCCAGACCUCUUUCCCAUCUCCCUUCCUUUGUAACUUGUUCUAGCAGAAAUGCUAAGUCACAGCUUAGAGCAGUGAUGGACACCUGGUAGGAAGGCAGGGCCA